rnacentral:misc_RNA from 1 species
AAGUCGUAACAAGGUCUUCGUAGGUGAACCUGCGGAGGGAUCAUUGAUGAAUUACAAUGGUUGACGUUUCCUUACGGAUUCUGAUACCUUUCAUCUCUAUACACACCUGUGCACUUCUUCUUGGUCUUAGGAAAAGUUCAUUUAUGAGCUUAGUACUUUGAUCAGAAAACUCUUGUGAAUGAAAACAGUUUUGGAUGUUCCAAUUUGAAAAAGUUAAAA